rnacentral:tRNA from 1 species
UGGCGCCCCGGGGGGGGACUCCCCCCGGGGCGCCGUUCGCGUUCCGGGCUUCUCCGGGCCCGUCCGUGUUCCGGUCCCGGGGAUGCCGUCC